rnacentral:rRNA from 1 species
GAUGAACGCUGGCGGCGUGCCUAAUACAUGCAAGUCGAGCGGUAAGGCUCCUGCAGAUUGUUUGAUGAAGCCAGGUCGCGAAAUUCUUUAGAAUUUCGCAUCACAACGAAGAAGAACGAUGACUAUCGUUCCGAAUGGGAGUGAAGUACCUGGUGUUUAACCUUCUUUUAAGAAGGCGAAAUCAAAUAAUGUGCUGGAGUACACGAGCGGCGGACGGCUGAGUAACACGUAGGAACGUACCCCAAACU